rnacentral:lncRNA from 1 species
GGGAGCGCGGCCCGGGGUCGCUGGGGAGGCCGGGUCAACGGCCACUGACAUCCUCCCGGCGGGCUGCCGAGUCCUCAGUUCCGAGAGGAAACGAGAGGGAUGAGGGCCUUGAGUUGUUCCACCGACUGCGAGAGGGCAGGGAGCGCACAGUGUUUGCUCCAUUACUGCAGAUCGCCCUCGCCCUGUUAAAAGAUGCCCUGCAGAGACAGCCGAAGAGCAAGAAAGGACUUCUGGGCCUGUUCUGCGGCUGAAGUUGUGCCUUCGCUGCCUUUCAUUUAUCCAGCAUACUACUUGCUAGGUGUUGAGAGCACAUAGUGGAAUGGGACGCUAAAAUUGCUUGCAGUCUCCGACUGCUUAAAGCUGGGAAGGUCGUUACCACUGGUUCAAACCUAUUUUACAGAUCAGGCAGCUGGGGCUUACAGUGAUUAGUGAGGCGACCUUCCCACGAUGGCACAGCUCAGUAGUGGAAGAGCGGGGACUAGGUCGAGGUUUUGUGGCUUUUAGUCCUGCAUGUGUUUGGGGUGACUUUCUGCUGACUUAUACUGAACUCUGUAGACUGUAAGCUCCAGGUGAGCCAGGAGUAUUUCUAUCUAGAAGACUAUAUGACUUUACUACCUUACAUUCUGUAAAUGCUCAAUAAAGGUGCUCAAAAAA